rnacentral:lncRNA from 10 species
UCUUGAGCUAAAGCAAUCCUCCCACCUCAGCCUCCUGAGUAGCUGGGACUACAGGCAUGCACCACUACGGCCAGCUAAUUUUUUAAUUUUUUGUAGAGACAGGUUUUAUUUUUUGAUAGAUGAGUUCUUACUACAUCACUCGGGCUGGUCUCAAACUCCUGGGCUCAAAUGAUCCUCCUGUCUUGGCCUCCCAAAGUGCUGCCUCAACCUCCCAAAGCGCUCACAGGUGUGAGCCUCUGUGCCCAGCCUGUUUCCACCCACUUUGAGAAGUACUGGCUAAAAAUAUGUAGAUUCCCUUUAUUAUGGCUCCAGCUCUGUGAGCUCAGUAGCCUGUGAGCUCUAUGAAGACAAUGCCCAGGGCUCUCCUCUUGCUAUCUUUUCUGUGAGCACAGGAUUGGUACAGAGGUGGCCUCACCAAAUGUUUGAAGAAUGACUACAUAUGAGGACACUCCUUUUAAAACUCUAGCCAGAUUUUAAGUCUUUUGAGGGUUGAAGCCAUGGGCCUUUC